CAAAGUUUGAAUAGUUAAUUUGACAAGUAUUGUCUCUGCCUUUGUGGGUGUUUUCUAUGAAUUUCUUUUUAUUUUCUAUGAAUUU